GGGACGGCGCGGGCUCUGAGCGCCAGAAAAAGCGGGGCAAAGACCAGACGUAUGCCGUCCCCAUAGAUAAGUAUUCGUGGGAGGAGAUCGUGCCGAUACGUCGCCUAGCGAGUGUCCUUAACGUCCCCCCUCGAGAAAUAUCUCGGCAACUCCGGCCCGCCAGCGCCUCCGCCCUUGUGAUCUGGUGGUGUGGAAAAGGAGUCACGGUUAACGCAGGAAUCCUUGCCCUGCCCCACCUGCUUCACGAGGAUCCUAGAGGAGUCUACGUGAUUGAUGAAUUGUACUUGGCCAAUUACCCUGUUUUCCG